rnacentral:rRNA from 1 species
CCUACGGGAGGCAGCAGUAGGGAAUUUUGCGCAAUGGGGGAAACCCUGACGCAGCAACACCGCGUGAAUGUUAAGCCCUUCGGGGUGUAAAGUUCUGUCAAUAGGGACGAAUUUUGACGGUACGUGUAAAGGAAGCACCGUCUAACUCCGUGCCAGCAGCCGCGGUAAUACGGUGGGUGCAAGCGUUGUCCGGAAUCAUUGGGCGUAAGGCGUUCGUAGGCGGUAUGUCAAGUCUGAUGUUAAAUCCCGGGGCUCAACUCCGGUUCGGCAUUGGCUACUGGCAAACUAGAAUGUGGUAGAGGUAAAGGGAAUUCCUGGUGUAGCGGUGAAAUGCGUAGAUAUCAGGAGGAACAUCGGUGGCGAAAGCGCUUUACUGGACUAUUAUUGACGCUGAGGAACGAAAGCGAGGGGAGCAAAUAGGAUUAGAUACCCUGGUAGUC